rnacentral:rRNA from 1 species
UACGUAGGGGGCUAGCGUUGUCCGGAUUUAUUGGGCGUAAAGCGCGUGUAGGCGGCCAGGAAGGUCCGCUGUGAAAACUCGAGGCUCAACCUCGAGAUGUCGGCGGAAACUCUCUGGCUAGAGUCCGGAAGAGGAGAGUGGAAUUCCCGGUGUAGCGGUGAAAUGCGCAGAUAUCGGGAAGAACACCCGUGGCGAAGGCGGCUCUCUGGGACGGUACUGACGCUGAGACGCGAAAGCGUGGGGAGCGAACAGG